ensembl:miRNA
GCCAGAUCAGGACCUCAGACCUCUGUGCAGUGCCCUCUGUGUUCUGCAGGUGCCAGUCUGAGUUGGUCAGAGC